ACGGGAGGCAGCAGUGGGGAAUAUUGCACAAUGGGCGGAAGCCUGAUGCAGCGAUGCCGCGUGAGGGAAGAAGGUUUUCGGAUUGUAAACCUCUGUCCUCAGGGACGAUAAUGACGGUACCUGAGGAGGAAGCUCCGGCUAACUACGUGCCAGCAGCCGCGGUAAUACGUAGGGAGCGAGCGUUGUCCGGAAUUACUGGGUGUAAAGGGUGCGUAGGCGGGACGGCAAGUCAGAUGUGAAAUGUAUGGGCUCAACCCAUAACCUGCAUUUGAAACUGUUGUUCUUGAGUGAGGUAGAGGUAAGCGGAAUUCCUAGUGUAGCGGUGAAAUGCGUAGAUAUUAGGAGGAACAUCGGUGGCGAAGGCGGCUUACUGGGCCUUUACUGACGCUGAGGCACGAAAGCGUGGGGAGCAAACAGGAUUAGAUACCCUGGUA
rnacentral:rRNA from 1 species